rnacentral:lncRNA from 1 species
GUGUGGUCUCUUCAGCAUAGCAACAGCAGCGUAGCUGAACAUCUUACGGAUGGCCCAGGGCUCCAAAGGCUCGUUUCCUAAGUGAGAGAGAGCCUGGCUGAAGCUGUAUUACCAUUCAUUCUCCAGCCUCCGAAGUCUCAAAGCAUCACUUCCACCAUACUCUAACUGUCAAGACAAACACAAAGGCCCAGAAACUGCCAGACUGUCUUCUGAAGUGGCUAUAAUAUUUACACUCCCAUCAGCAGUGUAGAAGGGGUCUCACUAUGUUGUCUGGAGUGCUGUGGUGGAGUGGAGUGGCUAUUCACAGAGCCUGUUCUGCUGGGACACAGAAUCACUUGCUCCAUCUCAUACAUUGAUGAUGAUUAAUUUGUAUGUGUACCUUCCAAAAAAGAUGGUUGUGUUUGAAUGGAGGCCUUCUGGACAGGAAAAUAUGGAGAGUGCGUGCUUUGGAUUCAAGACUGGGAAUGAGGGGACCAGAAACCUAUUCUGUGGCUGUUUCUUGUUAGGACUUUCCUAAGCCUCUGGAAAAGGUUCAAUCCUGCUGAUGCUCUCCAUGGAGAUGGUCAGCAAGUGCAAAGUACAAUUAACAUUUGAGUCUGUCUGAGUCAUGAAGAAAUGGAGAUUACUGAAAAUAAUUCAUUUUGGUAUCUUCUUACAUCCUGAGAGACUAAUCUUUCCAAGUUCAUCUGAGGCUCCUCUUCUCCAUGACAACCUCAUCCAGGGAUUUCUUCCUGUCCUGGUGUUUUAUGACAUGUGGAAGGGGACUGUAGCAGGUGAUCUCCAAAGUCUCUGGAGACUUACUAAUGUGCAUCCUCAUCUCGCUUGUAAGGAUAAUAGCCUUCCUCCAAACCUCACACACUUUUGGAGGAGAUCACUUUUUUUAAAGUGCAUGGAAAUGUUUUGAAACAGUGAAAUCUAUAAUGAUAGGUUUCAUAAUUCUAACAUCCACACCAUAUGAAUCACAUCCUUCCUGAGAUAAUGAGCACACAAUUGCCUGGAUACCUGAAGGAAUGGAGACAGCGGCAGAAAACACUGCAGAGAGGUGGAAACAUCCGUUAAUAUUUUAAAAUCCCAUUACUGCUACCAACAAUAAUAAUGGAUGCAUAGAAAUAGAUCUGGAUUAGCUGAGCUUGAAACAGUCCAUCUCACACACACACAAAAGAAUUUCAGGUAAUGAAGAAAAGAAAAGGAAAAAAAUAA